AUUGCAUACACUCAGUCUUCAGGAGGAGGCAUCCCCUCUGGGUACAGAACUUCCACCGUGGCUGCUUGCUCAGGAUAAACUGGUAGAACCAUGACUCAUUUUGUCAUUGGGACCACAGGAGGAGGGGCCAGAAGACAAUGAAGUGUGCGGUGAGCACUCUCACAUUUCGUUAGAUGCACCGUCUCUGAACCAGCUUACUCAGAACUUCAGGAUGGCGGUGUGCAGUUACCAACUGUUAAGUCAAAGAUUCUGGACUGUUUAGAGGUUCCCAAAGGGUUUGUCUAAACUUCACAGUGAAACCACAGGAUGCGAAUACCAAGGAUCCAAACACUCUGAUAAACUCAGAGAAAGUCUUGGGCUGUGCCUCGGGAAAUCAUUGCCUCUAUGAAGCUGUCCAAGGCGAGCUUGAUAAGCCUCUGAAGGCACAGAAGAACUGUUUGGAGAGGGGCCUAUACAUCUCGAUCUACAGCUACAGCGUCAUAUGCUACCCCUCAGAAACAGACCUUUUAAUGAUUUCAUCCUGUCAAAAAUUGCAUAUUUCAAAACAUUAGAAAGUUGACUUGCACAAAUAUAAAACAAGCAUGGGUCAGGAUGCUUCACCGUGUGCUCCAUAAGCUACUCAUCUGAUGUUUCAUAGGAAGCAGAAGAAAUUCCCAGCAAAGUGACCUGUGUUGCAAGACUCAAA
rnacentral:lncRNA from 1 species